rnacentral:tRNA from 1 species
GGAUCUGUGGCGUAAUGGUAGCGCGUCUGACUUCAAAUUAGAAGGUGGCGUGUGUGUUUCACUUUAGGUUCA